rfam:Picea glauca, whole genome shotgun sequence.
GGGGAGUACGUUGGCAAGAAUGAAACUCAAAGGAAUUGAUGGGGACCCGCACAAGUGAUGGAGCAUGUGGUUCAAUUUGAUGCAAAGCGAAGAACCUUACUAGGGCCUAACAUUCCGUGAAUCCUCCCAAAAGAGAGAAGUGUCUUUGGGAAUGCGCACACAGGUGGCGCAUGGCUGUCGUCAACUAGUGUCAUAAGGUCUUGGGUUAAGUCUCACUACGAGCACAACCCUCGUGUUUAGUUUCCAGCAUUGAGUUUGGAAACCUGAACAAGUUAUCAUGUCGCUUAUGCCCUGAGCAACACACGUGCUACAAUGGUCAUGAUAAAGGGUCACAACCCCGUAAGGGAAAGCUAACUUCAAAAACCCGAUGGUAGGUUAUAUAGAUCGUUAGAUUACGUGAGUGCUAGGUCAAUGAAAUAUCUCAUCCUUCUAUUUCAUCUUUGAAAGUAUCAAUUCAUAUGGAAUUGGGCACAUGUCCA